GGGACUCCUCCACCUUCCCUGAGACUUCCUAAAAGGAUGACCCAUUUGGACCUGAACACCAUCCACUAAUACAUUUUCCCUCCAAGGCCAAGAUAUUAAGGAGGGUGUAAUGAGAUUCAGUCCUGCACAUGUGAAUACCCACUGCCUGUCACCACGCCAUCUGUCCACGACUUAAAGGCAUGAGCAUGCCGUCUUCAGUGAAUAGAGGAAAAUGGAAAUGUAU
rnacentral:lncRNA from 1 species